GAUGAACGCUGGCGGCAUGCCUAAUACAUGCAAGUCGAGCGAAGCGGGGACGGGUGAGUAACGCGUGGGUAACCGCCUAUAAGGCUGGGAUAACUUCGGAAAACCUGAGCAAAACCGGAUACUUCGAAUUUGAUACUCGCUGCAUUAGCUAGUUGGUACGGAAACGGCUUACCAAGGCUACGAUGCAUAGCCGACCUGAGAGGGUGAUCGGCCACACUGGAACUGAGACACGGUCCAGACUCCUACGGGAGGCAGCAGUAGGGAAUCUUCCGCAAUGGGCGAAAGCCUGACGGAGCCACGCCGCGUGAGUGAAGAAGGUCUUCGGAUCGGAAAACUCUGUUAUUAGGGAAGCGGUAACUAACCAGAGAGCCACGGCUAACUACGUGCCAGCAGCCGCGGUAAUUC
rnacentral:rRNA from 1 species